rnacentral:rRNA from 1 species
UUGCGGUUAAAAAGCUCGUAGUUGGAUUUCUGCUGAGGACGACCGGUCCGCCCUCCGGGUGAGCAUCUGGUUCGGCCUUGGCAUCUUCUUGGUGAACGUAGCUGCACUUGACUGUGUGGUGCGGUACCCAGGACUUUUACUUUGAGGAAAUUAGAGUGUUUCAAGCAGGCAUACGCCUUGAAUACAUUAGCAUGGAAUAAUAAGAUAGGACCACGGUUCUAUUUUGUUGGUUUCUAGAGCUGAGGUAAUGAUUAAUAGGGAUAGUUGGGGGCAUUCGUAUUUAACUGUCCAGAGGUGAAAUUCUUGGAUUUGUUAAGGACGGACUACCGCGAAAGCAUUUGCCCAGGAUGUUUUCAUUGAUCAGAACGAAAGUUAGGGGAUCGAAGACGAUCAGAUACCGU